AUCAGCCGACGUUAGUGGCCAGUUUCGUCCUUCUUUAGAAUUUUAGACUUCAGAGAAGUACGCGACCACAACUUCAUUAGAACACUGACGAUAGAUAGAGAGAAAAAAAUCUUAUAGACAUACUUCCAUAACGGCGUCAGAUGAAUUUGUUCCUGGUUGGUACACUAUUUUUGUUGCUGACUGUUGUGUUAUGCGCCAGUGUACCUAUACCCGCAGACCUAGACAACGCGGAGAAAGAAUUAAACGUCGACGCCAGAGAUGUUUCAGAAAAGCGAGAAGAGAAAAUACAUAAAUUUGAAGACAAUGACCUCGACGCUAAAAAGCUGAUGGAUAUUUACCGCUCGAAAAGCGAGGGAAAAGCUGAAAACCUCGUCGGGGAAGGCCUGAAUAGAGAAGUAUUGAGACGCAAUGCGGCGGAUAAACACAUUGUGAAGCGACGCUACAACAAAAAUGGGAGAAUGAGGGUUCAUAUCUCGGAUCAAAAUGGCCAGCGAAUGUUCAGAAAAAGGAAAUAAAAAAUAAAGUUUUAUUGAGAUUUAAAGAUUUUUUAUUAUGAAUUAUGAAAAUAAGCCUAUUACGAAGAUUCGACAUUCAAAAUAUAUAAACUCACAAUGAAGCAACAUACUUCAAAUUAUUUGUGUCUUAAUGAAGUUGCAAAUAAAACAAUAUUCAAGUGUU